rnacentral:rRNA from 1 species
AUUGAACGCUGGCGGCGUGCUUAACACAUGCAAGUCGAGCGGAAAGGCCUCUUCGGGGGUACUCGAGCGGCGAACGGGUGAGUAACACGUGAGUAAUCUGCCUCUGGCUUCGGGAUAGCCACCGGAAACGGUGAUUAAUACCGGAUACGACACAUCACUGCAUGGUGCGUGUGUGGAAAGUUUUUUCGGCCAGGGAUGUGCUCGCGGCCUAUCAGCUUGUUGGUGGGGUAAUGGCCUACCAAGGCUUCGACGGGUAGCCGGCCUGAGAGGGUGACCGGCCACACUGGGACUGAGACACGGCCCAGACUCCUACGGGAGGCAGCAGUGGGGAAUAUUGGACAAUGGGCGGAAGCCUGAUCCAGCAACGCCGCGUGAGGGAUGACGGCCUUCGGGUUGUAAACCUCUUUCAGCACAGACGAAGCGCAAGUGACGGUAUGUGCAGAAGAAGGACCGGCCAACUACGUGCCAGCCGCCGCGGUAAAAC